rnacentral:rRNA from 1 species
CAGUCGCCCGGGAAUACAGAGGGUGCGAGCGUUAAUCGGAUUUACUGGGCGUAAAGCGUGCGUAGGCGGCUUUUUAAGUCGGAUGUGAAAUCCCUGAGCUUAACUUAGGAAUUGCAUUCGAUACUGGGAAGCUAGAGUAUGGGAGAGGAUGGUAGAAUUCCAGGUGUAGCGGUGAAAUGCGUAGAGAUCUGGAGGAAUACCGAUGGCGAAGGCAGCCAUCUGGCCUAAUACUGACGCUGAGGUACGAAAGCAUGGGGAGCAAACAGGAUUAGAUACCCCCGUAGUCCCUGUCUCUUAUACC